GCCCCCGCGUAGCUUCGCCCUAGGGCGCCGCCCCUCCCGCCUGGGUGCGUCGUCGCGCUCACGCCCCACGCCGGGUAGCUUUAACCUCCGGCGCCGGCUCGGUAUAUCGCCGCCCAUCCCCCACCCUCACCCCAGACGCCGGCUCGGCAGAUCACCGCCCCUCCCACUGGGCAAGCCGUUGUGUGCACGCCCCACCCGCGUAGCUUCACCCCCGGCACCGGCUCAGCAGCUCACCGGCCCCACCCGCAUAGCUUCACCCCCUGCACGUGGCUCAGCAGGUCACUGCAGUGCCCCUGAGACCCGGUGCCGUCCUGUUGGAUCGAAGCUUCUAGAUGACGCCAGAUGGACAGCAGAAGCCCAAUCCCCUCCAUCGCUUCAUCCCGUUGAGUUGCAUAUGCCACCAGAAGCCCCAUCCCCUCCCUCGCUCAAGUGGCAUCGCGACUCUGCGGUAAGGGCGGCAGCUCAUCCACAGCGAUGACGGUGACGUCGGGGACGCGGGAGGUGGCAUCAGGGACGUGCUGUCCGAAAAGGUGCAGGGCGUCAUUGAGCGUAUGAUCGAAGUCAUGCGUAGGGUAGGGACCCAGGCGUCAACCUCUCCGCCCGCAGAUUGACGUCCCGCUCCGGGUAUGUCUGAUUCUUCGAUUCGCCUUGGGAGUUCUGUUACUGGCAUUCAAUCAUCGAUGACACCCAAUUAAUCAUGGAAUUGCAUAUUAUUGUUCUCGAGGAUACAUAGGAGUACAUCUAUGCACCGCCGCCCAUUAAGCAUUUGGUCACGCCCUGUGCUUUUCCUUGGAGAUAGAUCAUUAUCAAUCCCAAUAACAAUUAAAAGAACUGUGGUGUUCUUUGAUGGAUGUCUCAUGUACACAGUAGAACAAUUGAUGCCAGUGUUGAGAUGUUGAAGUUUCAGGCCUAGACUGAAAUGGGAGCGCCAUUAAGGAUCUAAUGUACCACAUGAUGAUUCAAUGGAUUUGCGCAAUGUAAUUUGGCUAUCUCCUUUGCCAUCAAAUGGAUCUUUGGACUUCUGUGUCGUGAGCUAUUAUCCAAAGCAUUAACUUCAAACAUUAACUUCCACAGUACAAUCUAUAUCAAGAUGCAUGAUCAAUUGUGUACUUCUAUACUGAUCUUUGGAUCACCAUAGUUAGUUCUACGAGUACUCAUAUACUUUUCUUUUCUUCACAUGUCAAGAAUUUACAAGGACCUGCGUCAAUCCAUUUCCAAACUUCUAAGUGUACUGUCCGCAUCUUUCACAAGUAAGUUCAUAGACAAUAUUUUACUUUUGCACAAAAAAACAUGAAUGUGUGCUAUUGUUUGAUAAGCUUUCAAUGUUGCUAAUCCAAUUAUCGUUUCCGCAAGCCGUUUAAGUGCUGCUUUGGAAGUAAUUUUAGCAUCGGAAUUAUAAUUUUGCACAAAAAAAGGUUGCAUGCUAAUGAUACAUCAUCUGUCAAUUUUGCUACUCUAGCUGCUGUCAUUACAAACCAUGUUGUCAUUACAAACCGUUUAGGUGUUGUUUGGAGACAGAUUUGUACUUUUGAAGUAGAACAAUUGCUUGCAGCUAAAACAUUAUCUGCAGACGCAAAAAUUAAUAAGCUAAAAAUAUUAUUCAUCGUAAACACUAAUCCGUUUGCACACAUACCUUCUAUAACCAAUAUACAGUUUGCACCUAAAAAUCUUAUUCAUCAUAAUCAGAAAUCCGCUUGCAUACAUACUAAAAUUUGCGGCCCAUAUUUUUACUUGAGAGAUGUCUAGCUUCAUGUGUUCCUUCUAUAUGAAAUAUACAAUUUGUAUAUCAUAUUUGAACAAACAUUAGAAGGAACACAGAUUUGCUUAAAAAAAGAUACCUAGACAUAUAAUUGCUUAGAUUUUAGUCAUCGAGCUAUUUCAAUACUCUUCUGUUUUAACACCUGCAGACAUGAUUACACAACAACUGAUUCUCAUAUUAUUUUUUCCUCGGUACAUAUGAUCUGUACAAUUCUUGAAACAAUGUUUUCUACUGCAAAAAAUUAGCUGUUCCAUUGAGGAAUGAAUUUAUUAACAAGACACCAAUCAAAUUAGUCAUCAAGCUGUUUCAAUACUCUUCUGUUUUAACACCUGCAGACAUGAUUACACAACAACUGAUUCUCAUAUUAUUUUUUCCUCGGUACAUAUGAUCUGUACAAUUCUUGAAACAAUGUUUUUGUACUACAAAAAGUUAGCUGUUCCAUUGAGGAAUGAAUUUAUUAACAAGACACCAAUCAAAUAUUUUUUUAAAGAUAUAACCCAUUUCUAACUCUUUCAAAAAAAAGUAUGCUCCACCGUUACAGUAACAUAAAACAGCCACCAUUACUCUCCAAAACACCUUUUUAGAUUCAAAAGGUUAGUAUUACAACCUCCUUCCUUAAACACCUCUAACAGCCCGGAGAAAUUACCAAUUAACAGGUAGUAUUUGUUAAUUGUUGCGCUCAUAUUUUAGUGCCUAAUAGAUGCCUGACGAAAUGCCUAGAUGCUAUGAUUUUCUCCCAGAUUCUGAGUUUCUGAAUUUAGGUGCUGCAUUUCUAAAUAUUUGAGUUUGCAUACGUGCUAUGAUUUACUCCCAGAUUCUAGCAAGGUAUGUAACAUCAGCCAUGCAUUCUAAUUCUCCUACCAUGCGCUCUAACUCGCUCCUCUAAUCUACUGCAGGGGUGAUAUUGUUGAAGUAGAUACAUGGAUUAGUGCUAAUGGUAAAAAUGGAAUGCGUAGACAUUGGCAUGUACAUGAUUCUAUAACAGGCCAUACAAUACUGAAGGUGACAAGGUUCAAAUCUACGUCGUGCUCUUAUGUUUAUAUCUUUAAUCAAUUUUAUUAGCAAUUUAAUUCUACCAACUGCCAUGUUAGUGUUACGAUUGACACAACACUUAUAGUUUCUCUGCUAAAAAACAACAAAUCUUCUAGGUGCACCACCGGCACCCUGGAUCAUUAUUGUUAUUUUUUGGUGUCCUCUUGCUCCUAUUAUCCUAUAAUUCAUCUGCUUGAUAAUCUCUUUUUUGUAUAAUGAGGUUUUAUUGGCAUUUUAAGGUUUACCACUGUCUACAACACACAAGUUUGGAUUAUAUCUUGUGUCUCAUAAGCAGUUUGGCAAUAAAAGGAAGUAUCUUCAUAGGAGAACCGCCCCAUUUCCAUACUAUGCAACACCAAUGGACAUGGUUGUUUAAGUAUAUGUUUUUUCUUUUUUCUUCUGCUUAAUAUAUAAUGGGGCGCAGUUCUCCUGCGCGUCUAAAAAAAUAACACAUGGUCUUUUAAACCGGGUUGUCAAUAAUAGUCCUCUGGCGCAAUGUUUUGUAGGGCUUGGAGCAAGGCAAUCAGGAAAAGCUUUCCUUUUGUCAAUAAUAUAUGGAGAUGAAUAUUCUACUCUAGAUAAUAUAUCUAUGAUAAUAAUUUUAUAUGCUUGAGUACCUUGGCAUUCCAUUUUUCAUGAUAUGAUCAAUCAUUUUGUUUUCUUUGUUUCAUGAUUGCGUCCCACCAGAAAAACACCGGCUCAUGUCUAUGCUUCCUCUUCCAGGUGCCUGUGAUGUGUUUUUCCUAGUAGCUUUGGAUUUUGUUAUUUAGGUGACCGAUACUAUCUAUCACUACAAAGUAGAAAUCUUGGAGUUAUACAUUUUAUUAGAGAGAUGAAGACUAUUUAUAUUAGUUUUAGAUGCAUUCGGUACCACCUUGUUUUUCAGUGUCAUGAAUCAUGGCCACAUGAGAGAGAAAUACAGGCACAUCCGCACAUGAAAAAAUGAUACAUGUGUGAGUGGCUAGUUCAUCUAUGAGCAUAACUAAAUUGAACCCUGAUGAUAUUAACCUUAGAUGGUUAUCAAAGGAUGACAUUGGGGAUUUGGACUGUCUUCGCAUUGGUGUUGUUUUUACAUUUUUUCAUCAUGUUAGAAUUUAGUGUUUAGGAGGAUUUAUGGGCGGCGUUUUAUUAACAAAACUGAAAAUCUUGUGUUGCAAGGAUGAACUCCUGAUUUCAGCGCUCUCCAGUAUUUACUGAUUAGGUUAGGACCAGUAGUAUUAUUUCUUGUGUAGUGCAAUACUUCUGACUUUUGGUAGUGUGAGGGCAUGAAAAUAAGGCAAGGGGAAAAAAGACAUAGACACUAGAGGAAUUUGUUUAGAAUUUUUUGGUUGAUUGUUGCUACAUAUGUAGUAUGUUAGUUUCCUACAUCAUUCUGCCAUCUUUGGGUAUUGGCCAGGUUAUGAUAUAACCUUAUUUAUCAGACAGUUAGCCAGUUAAAAGUUGAAGAGUGACAGUUUGACGGACAACAUACUCUUGGUUGUUAUGUGCAGUGGACUCUUGCUACAGACCUGCAAAACCUGGCAAUGGAGUUCAAAAAAAGCAGUCAUCAUGUUUAAAGCAUUUCGCAUACAAAACAAGUUAUCUUAUGUUGUCAUCAGAUAACUAGGUGUUGAUAGAAUGCUUGUCCAACCUUGUAUUGUGUGCUUUGUUGGUGAAUACCUUUGCAGGGUCAGGAUAGUGUUGUUUUGGAAAUGAAUAUAAAUGGUCGGUGUCUACAUUUGGAUACAGUGAGUUUGAGAAUGUGGUAUGUUUUAUUUUGUUCUUGUUGCAUACCUGAUUUUUUUGGUUCUUUUUAUUUCUACAUAUUAGAUAUUAGCAUGAGAAGUUUGUAUAUCUGUAUAGUAACUUAUGUCAGAUCUAAUGUACUAUGAGUCAUUCUUUAUUAGAUAUUGAGAUAUUACCUGCAUGUUAGACAUCAGUGUGUGAGACUUUUAUGUGGCUUUUCCCCUUUCCUUGUACAAAUCCUAUAGUAGGCUUUUAUGUGGCACAAACCUGCAGUAAGAUGCGCCUUAUUCCCUUUUGCUUUGUAAUCUGCUUGUUAUUAAUAUGCCUCGUUGACUACACAGUUCAGCCUAAAUCCCCAACCAUUAUAGAAGAUGUUCUGGACUUCUACGUCUAAAGUUAACUAACGGUCUAGGAUCUGCUUCCAUUUACACUUUUUUACUUCAAGAGAGUAAGUAGUUGCCAGAGCACUUUUUCCACAUAUUUGUGGAUAAUAAGUAGACAUCAAACUAGAUCACCUGGACAACAGAGAAUAAGGUGGCAUAACUUUAGCAAAAAAAUAGCUAAAGUUAUGAUUCUCUUUAUGAAUUUUCAUAGAGAUUGUGAUGUCAAAUAUCUAAGAAGAAACGCAUGGAAAACUUCUAUAUUGAUAGAGUAGUUUCGUUGCAGAAAAAAAUACUAUAUUGAAACGUGUUUGAGGCGAGAGGCAUAUCUUUGCUUCUGAAGUCCUGUUUUCUACCAUAGGUUGGGUUGUACUAAUGUUCAGAAGAUGCAUCCUACUGCAGGUUGGGUUGGGUUCUUUUGGAUGACAUAUAGUGUUGGGUUGUGCAGUUCAAACACUCUUUCAUUUUUCUUAAGUGCUCUUUACUUUUGAUCUUUGUGAUGGGCAUCACGAGGAAUCAUGAUAUACUGAUGUCAAUAUUUUUUAAUCAUUAGUCUAUGCCAACUGCCAACAACCAUUCCUCUAUGUCCACUUGGACUAUUAUUCCAACUAGAUGAUUAACAUAUAGCAACCAACUUGAAGUUCCUUUACUUUAGCUUUUUAUUGUAAGAACUAAGAACACAACCUUACAUGUUGCCCAGGAUGAAAGAAUGGUGUUAAUACAUGUCAAACUAAAAGUUUAAGACUGCAUCCUGGUCUGAUUCUAUAGUGGGACAAUUCUUUUCUUGACUAAUUGCUUUGUGGUUCUAGAUUUUUUUAGUUUGACCUUUCAGGGAUGUGCCUACUGAGAUUGUUGCUGCUCAGGUCUAGCAGGCUCUGCAACUCCUGCAGCUUGCCGAUAUCCGAAGGGAUCAGGCCAGAUAGGUAAUUCUGUGCCAGGUUCAGCUCAUAGAGACUGCUCAAUUUGGGACCGUCGUCGAAAUUAGACCUGAGAUCUGGUUGUAUGUGACAUUCAACACGUUGAGGGACACCAGGCUUCCGAGUUUAGGCGACAUUGUUCCAGUUUUGCUUUCUUCAGUUCAAAUUUUCUAGAUUUUACAGAUUCAUGAAUAGCCCCUUAUUAUUGGUGCAACUAAUAUUCAGUCUGCUAAAAUAUCAAUGGCCCACCUAAUUUCGUAAAAAAGGAUGAGCACUACACGAACCAUUCCUAUACUUUGUGAACUUUGUUUUCAAACAUGCCUUCUAGCUUUACCAUAUUAACAAUAGACAACCAAUUCAGUUGAUGCUUUGACUUCUUCAUUCCGGCGUUAAGUAGUACCCCUGCUCCUCAAGUACAACAUGAGCGAGGUAAUUGCUUUAUCCCUUAGCCUAUUUUAUAGUCAAAUAAUAUACAAUCAGAUGUUUGGAUACCAUAUCUUUGUUAAUUUCUUUUGUUCCAUGUGCCUUGUCAUAUGUACUACAGUUAUGUUCGUAUAUGCACAUUAAGAUCUUCAGUGACUUUUCUAUAUACACACCAUGAACUACGCUAACUUUGAAGCAUUGUAGGUGACUUUUAAUAAUAUUCCCAUUGCCGGUCACAAAACUCAAGUAUUGUCACAGAUCUUUUUAUUAGGGACAUAAAGUAUGUGUAUUUCUGUUAUCACCACAACAUAUAGUUACUGCAUUGAUUUACUCGACACUCUUCAAUACUGCUUUUAUCAUCACGUAUUUUUUUCUUAAAUCUACUACAUUGUAUGCAUGAUACACCAACAUCUUCUUUAGUACCAAACGAAAAACCUAGCUACAAUUAACAUUUUUUAAGUCUCACAGGAAUCUAUUUUGUGUGGCUACAAAGGUUACCCAUGCUGGCAGAAGCAAUCUACUUUCGUGACCUGUGUUGCUGGCUGGUGAAGGUAGCCAGCCCACUGAAGACUGGGUCCACUGAAGACCAUCUUGGUGGCCACGCUCGGCGCUCGGCAGGUCGCUGGAGGAGAACGGAGGCAUGUACCGCGUCGUCUCCAAGGAGUGGGACCAUGAAGAUCGAGAAGAUGACCAUGGCAAGGCUCAGGGACGACGACGCCGUGCGUCGCGACCUUCGCGACAUCUUCAUCUUUUGGUUUUGAAGCACAAGAGAAUUGGAAAUCAACAACUGGUGUCACUGGUUAUUCUUAAGAACCAUUUGCUACCGAAUGUAGUCCAAAGGCUCCUUAACUCACAAACACAUGAGACACAAAAAUAUAGAAAGACCAAAUAUUCUCAUUCAUCUAUUCUGUUCACUGGUUAUAAUAAAUGGUGGUGUCCUCUC